rnacentral:tRNA from 1 species
GCCUGGGUGGCUCAGUCAGUUGAGCAUCCGACUUUGGCUCAGGUCAUGAUCUCAUGGUUUGUGGGUUCAAGCCCCACGUCAGGCU